GCCUCCGUGGCCAAACGGAUAAUGUUGUUAUUUAUCUGGGACGUCUUGACCAGACGUAGCGGGUUCGAACCCCGCAGGAGGCA